rnacentral:snoRNA from 1 species
UGGGAGCGGUGAGGUUUAAGCACGCGGGGUGUUUGUUGUGCGUGAGGUGGCUGAGUUUAGCGAGCAAGGACGCGUGCAAGCCGUGUGGGUGUGCGUGCAAGUCCCGAGUGUGAGUGUGCAAGGCGAGUGCGUGCCCGCGUGCCGAACCGACCCCUUCCUGACGCGUUCCCCCCCUACACUCUGAUCUUAUUUGAUCGGGUCGCGCUCCCGCCUCGCCGGCCCGGCCCGAGAUGAGAAGCUCUCCUCCCGCGAAGGCCCGGCCCCCCCGGGCCGAGGCGCUGUGCGGCGAGGCCUAUGCGAACAGGCGGCGGCCGCUCCCGGGCUUCCCGAGCCGGCCCUUCCGGGGCCGGCCCGGCCGGGCGCUCAGAAGUGAUGAGUUGAUCAGAUAGACGAGGCGGGGCUCGCCCCUGCCCUUGAGUAUCGAGGCGAUUCUGAUCUGA